GAGGAAGUUCUCGCUGAAGCCGGGCCCGUGUUUGGAGUCCGUCAUCCAGAAGAACAUUGCCUCCGAGAUGUCAGGACACACAGCUCCCUGCAGCGACGAGAAUUCUACGUGAGGAACCAACGGAGGAGCAGCAGCAUUGCGAGAUCGAAACAAAGAAAAGGAGGUGGAAAGGCUGGAAGAGAGAGUUCACGCUGAAGAGGUAUAUGUACAGGGCUGGCUUCCAGAUGCUCGGGCUGCGGACCGUGGCGGUGAAGAGGUGUACCGUGCGGAGCAGUGCCGCGAAGUUGGCCCCCGCGAGCUGCUUGGGGAGCUUGUCCUCGGGAAGAGCCCACGCUGCAACGAUGAGCAUGAGAGGCGCCGUGGAGAUCAAGAGGAAAGCUCCCUUUGGACCCAAGGAGUGGACGGCUGGCCCGGAAAUCCCACACCCGGAGAGGCCACCGAUCGCCAUGCUCCCCCACGACAAGCUCUGUGCAAAACAACAGCAUCAGAUCAUCUCAGGGUGGCAGUAGCGGAGCUCUCUUCCUAUCAAGAUCAAGAAAUGGUGGAUCUUUUUGCGAGAACUCAAGACGAUCAAGCGAGCUCCUUAAAGUUCUUCGAUCUAGCCGUGACGGUGGCGAAGUUCUCGACUCGCAAUCACUGAGAGAAGAAUGGUUACCUGCAAAUCACUGGCGAGGUGUGGUACGUUUCGGCUGUGCUGUGCCACUGCGGCGUCGGUGACGACGUCCGGGAAGGCGGUACACAGCGCGGCACCGGCGAGGAGCAGCGUCGCGACCAGCGGCGAUGGAGUGGGAAGAAGCGCCAGCAUCCACAAGCACAAGCUGCCGGCCAUGCCGCACGUCGCCAAGUAAGGCCAUCGCCGGUAGCUGCCAAGAACAAAGUUUUAAGAAGAGAUCUUUGGCAAGCCCGAGAACUCUACAAAAGUUACGCUGUACCCGCCAAUGGGAAACGUGUCCGUUAUAAGGCCGUAGAUUGGCUUGAUGUCCCAUGGCAAGCUCGACAGUGCCUGGAAGAAAGAAGAAAGAAGAAAGAAGAAAAGGUAUGGAAAAGGAGAGAAUUUGCGCCGCUUGCCUGGAA